rnacentral:lncRNA from 1 species
CAGAUUUGGGUAUGACGUGGUGAUCUGAUAUCAGUUUGGUUACAGUCUUUGGUCUUUUGUAGUGCAAUAUAAAGGAAAUAUUUUCACCACAUAAUCCAAUUAUGUGCUUUGGCAAACAUUACUGCUUUAGCAAACAUUACUGCCUUGGAAAACAUUACUUUUUUAUAACUACUAAUUAUGAUGAUGCCAGCCCAACAACACUUGGUCAUGCUAUUUGCAAAUAUUUUCAUGUUCUAGAUUGUGAAAACAAUCAAUUUCUAAA